rnacentral:rRNA from 1 species
UACGUAGGGUGCGAGCGUUAAUCGGAAUUACUGGGCGUAAAGCGUGCGCAGGCGGUGAUGUAAGACAGAUGUGAAAUCCCCGGGCUCAACCUGGGACCUGCAUUUGUGACUGCAUCGCUGGAGUACGGUAGAGGGGGAUGGAAUUCCGCGUGUAGCAGUGAAAUGCGUAGAUAUGCGGAGGAACACCGAUGGCGAAGGCAAUCCCCUGGACCUGUACUGACGCUCAUGCACGAAAGCGUGGGGAGCAAACAGG